UAGCUACUCCUUUCGUUCGGAAUUAUUCGUCUCAAAAAUAAAUGUAUUUAGAACUAAAAUACAUCUAGAUACAUCAAUUUCUGCGACAAGUAUUUUCGAACGAAGGGAGUAAAAC
rfam:Triticum aestivum genome assembly, contig: Triticum_aestivum_CS42_TGACv1_scaffold_556929_7AL